rnacentral:lncRNA from 1 species
AUUUGAACAAUUAAUAGCGUACCUUUCUAAAUCUGAUUUUUGUACCACAAAAUUCAAUGAUUGUUUUAAAUGAUAACGUUUGAUUGCAUGUACGCAUUCAUCCUUGUUAUGAAAAUUUUAUUCCAGCUGCAAGAGUUCCAUCUACUGCUGGGACUUCGUAAAUGAACAUGUGAUCAGAUUCACUUGGUUGCUUUGCAGUGUCUAAAUUGAUGUUCUUUGUGUGGAAUGAUGGAUUGAAUACAAGUAGGAUAGAUUGAUCUUCUGCUUCCAUAUCUUCAUCAACAUCAUUGUCGUCAAAAUCACCAAAUAAUUGAUCGAAGUAUGUUUCAUCCUCUUCACUAUAGUCGCCUAAUUCUUCCUCAUUGAUAUUAUACAAGACACUAAACGGAAGAUCAUAUUAUAGACUUGCUAAAAGAGAUUCGUGACAGAGUUGUUGGGAGGCAU